UAAUUCUUACCCAUUAUAUCUUAAUAUCACUCUGUGUAAGAGCUUGUUAAACAUAUCCGAUGGGCAACAAUAUAUCUCAUCUCUUAAGACAAUGAGAAUCUGCAGCUGUGAAAAAAAUUGGAUAUACCUAGUCAUGAUGUUAAAACACUGAAGAACAACAGUUAAGGAUUGAUCGGUGGAAGCUGUCAACAAGCAUCUGUGCUCAGUGCUCACUGUAGUUCUUGUUAAACAUGUUGAUCAGAUCAUGGGGACACCAUGUUGGGGUUGAAGGUUCAUAACAAGGAAUGGCGCAUGAGAGUAGUGCUCUAAGAUCAUUGCCAAAGCCAUCUUCACUUCAAGCAUGGCAAAGUUCUGUCCUAUACAUAUUCGUGGACCCCAAUCGGAAGGCGUCUAUGAAGAACUCUCGAACAUUUUGCGAUCCCAGAUGUGUCCAUAUCAAUGGUGACUUGAUUGUUUGUUGCCUUAGCUAUACCUUCGGAAAACCUCUAAAGGUUGAAUUCAGUGGCAUCCUCACCCCAGAGUUUAGGAUCAUGAUGAACUAGCAGGGUUGCUACUCAGAACAUAUAGAACAUUCCUAUACUAAUCUUUAUGAUAAAUAUUCUAAUAUACCCUUACAGUCACUAAAUUAAGUGAUUGGAACGAGACCAUAUUUAUGUUUGUAAAAUCAAGUCAUAUUCUUCAUUACAGAGCAAUAUGACAAUUAGUUAUGGAUCAAA